GGGUAACGAAGCGACGCCGCGUGGGUGAGGAAGGCCUUCGGGUUGUAAAGCCCUGUCAGGAGUUAAGAAAUGUAGACUCGCUAAUAUCGGGUCUAUUUGACAAAGGCUCCAAAGGAAGCCACGGCUAACUCUGUGCCAGCAGCCGCGCUAAUACAGAGGUGGCAAGCGUUGUUCGGAAUUAUUGGGCGUAAAGAGCACGUAGGUGGAUUUGUAAGUCAGACGUGAAAGCCUUCUGUUCAACGGAAGAAUUGCAUCUGAAACUACAAACCUUGAGUGUAGGAGGGGAGAAUGGAACUUCUGGUGGAGCGGUGAAAUGCGUAGAUAUCAGAAGGAACGCCGGCGGCGAAAGCGAUUCUCUGGCCUAUUACUGACACUCAGGGUGCGAAAGCUAGGGGAGCAAACGGGAUUAGAUACCCCGGUAGUCCUAGCCGUAAACGAUGGGCACUAAGUAGAGG
rnacentral:rRNA from 1 species